AGUGAACGCUGGCGGUAGGCCUAACACAUGCAAGUCGAACGGCAGCACAGUAAGAGCUUGCUCUUACGGGUGGCGAGUGGCGGACGGGUGAGGAAUACAUCGGAAUCUACUUUUUCGUGGGGGAUAGCGUAGGGAAACUUACGCUAAUACCGCAUACGACCUACGGGUGAAAGCAGGGGAUCUUCGGACCUUGCGCGAUUGAAUGAGCCGAUGUCGGAUUAGCUAGUUGGCGGGGUAAAGGCCCACCAAGGCGACGAUCCGUAGCUGGUCUGAGAGGAUGAUCAGCCACACUGGAACUGAGACACGGUCCAGACUCCUACGGGAGGCAGCAGUGGGGAAUAUUGGACAAUGGGCGCAAGCCUGAUCCAGCCAUACCGCGUGGGUGAAGAAGGCCUUCGGGUUGUAAAGCCCUUUUGUUGGGAAAGAAAAGCAGCAGGUUAAUACCCCGCCGUUCUGACGGUACCCAAAGAAUAAGCACCGGCUAACUUCGUG
rnacentral:rRNA from 1 species